rnacentral:rRNA from 1 species
UACGUAGGGGGCGAGCGUUGUCCGGAUUUAUUGGGCGUAAAGAGCGUGUAGGCGGUUCGGUAAGUCUGUCGUGAAAUCCUGAGGCUCAACCUCGGGCGUGGGAUGGAUACUGCCGGGCUAGAGGAUGGUAGAGGCGAGUGGAAUUCCCGGUGUAGCGGUGAAAUGCGCAGAUAUCGGGAGGAACACCAGUGGCGAAGGCGGCUCGCUGGGCCAUUCCUGACGCUGAGACGCGAAAGCUAGGGGAGCGAACAGG